AGGAUGAACGCUGGCGGCGUGCUUAACACAUGCAAGUCGAACGAUGAAGCGGAGCUUGCUCUGUGGAUUAGUGGCGAACGGGUGAGUAACACGUGAGUAACCUGCCCUUGACUCUGGGAUAAGCACUGGAAACGGUGUCUAAUACCGGAUACGAGUUUCAGCCGCAUGGCUAGGAGUUGGAAAGAAUUUCGGUCAAGGAUGGACUCGCGGCCUAUCAGGUAGUUGGUGAGGUAAUGGCCCACCAAGCCUACGACGGGUAGCCGGCCUGAGAGGGUGACCGGCCACACUGGGACUGAGACACGGCCCAGACUCCUACGGGAGGCAGCAGUGGGGAAUAUUGCACAAUGGGCGCAAGCCUGAUGCAGCAACGCCGCGUGAGGGACGACGGCCUUCGGGUUGUAACCUCUUUAGUAGGGAAGAAGCGAAAGUGACGGUACCUGCAGAAAAGCACCGGCUAACUACGUGCCAGCAGCCGCGGU
rnacentral:rRNA from 1 species